rnacentral:rRNA from 1 species
UACGUAGGGGGCAAGCGUUAUCCGGAUUUACUGGGUGUAAAGGGAGCGUAGGCGGUUCAGCAAGUCAUAAGUGAAAGCCCGGGGCUCAACUCCGGGACUGCUUUUGAAACUGUUGAACUAGAUUGCAGGAGAGGUAAGUGGAAUUCCUAGUGUAGCGGUGAAGUGCGUAGAUAUUAGGAGGAACACCAGUGGCGAAGGCGGCUUACUGGACUGUAAAUGACGCUGAGGCUCGAAAGCGUGGGGAGCAAACAGG